rnacentral:rRNA from 1 species
UACGGAGGGGGGCUAGCGUUGUUCGGAAUUACUGGGCGUAAAGCGCACGUAGGCGGCUUUGUAAGUUAGAGGUGAAAGCCCGGGGCUCAACCCCGGAAUUGCCUUUAAGACUGCAUCGCUUGAAUUGUGGAGAGGUGAGUGGAAUUCCGAGUGUAGAGGUGAAAUUCGUAGAUAUUCGGAAGAACACCAGUGGCGAAGGCGACUCACUGGACACAUAUUGACGCUGAGGUGCGAAAAGCGUGGGGGAGCAAACAGG